rnacentral:rRNA from 1 species
GACGAACGCUGGCGGCGUGCUUAACACAUGCAAGUCGAACGGAAAGGCCCUGCUCUUGUGGGGUGCUCGAGUGGCGAACGGGUGAGUAACACGUGAGUAACCUGCCCUUGACUGUGGGAUAACUUCAGGAAACUGGGGCUAAUACCGGAUAGGAGCUCCUGCUGCAUGGUGGGGGUUGGAAAGUUUCGGCGGUUGGGGAUGGACUCGCGGCUUAUCAGCUUGUUGGUGGGGUAGUGGCUUACCAAGGCUAUGACGGGUAGCCGGCCUGAGAGGGUGACCGGCCACAUUGGGACUGAGAUACGGCCCAGACUCCUACGGGAGGCAGCAGUGGGGAAUAUUGCACAAUGGGCGGAAGCCUGAUGCAGCAACGCCGCGUGCGGGAUGACGGCCUUCGGGUUGUAAACCGCUUUCGCCUGUGACGAAGCGUGAGUGACGGUAAUGGGUAAAGAAGCACCGGCUAACUACGUG